CCCGCUGAACUUAAGCAUAUCAAUAAGCGGAGGAAAAGAAACUAACAAGGAUUCCCCUAGUAACUGCGAGUGAAGAGGGAAAAGCUCAAAUUUAAAAUCUGGCAGUCUUUGAUUGUCCGAGUUGUAAUUUAGAGAAGUGUUGCCCGUGUUGGACCGUGUACAAGUUUCCUGGAAUGGAACGUCAUAGAGGGUGAGAAUCCCGUCUUUGACACGGAUCCCAAUGCAUUGUGGUACACUUUCGAAGAGUCGAGUUGUUUGGGAAUGCAGCUCUAAAUGGGUGGUAAAUUCCAUCUAAAGCUAAAUAUUGACGAGAGACCGAUAGCGAACAAGUACCGUGAGGGAAAGAUGAAAAGCACUUUGGAAAGAGAGUUAACAGUACGUGAAAUUGCUAUAAGGGAAACGCUUGAAGUCAGACAUGCUCCGUGCGUUCAGCCGAAAGGUGUACUCGUACGGUUGCAGGCUAGAGUCUGUUCUUGGGGUCGGAUAAGGGUCUUGGGAACGUGGCCGGUUCGCCGGUGUUAAGCCCUGGACUUGAUACGGCUCUGGGGACAGAGGACCGCAGCGCGCCUUCUUGGCAUUGGCUUCGGCCUUUUCCGCGCUAAGGAUUCUGGCUUAAUGGCUUUAAGCGACCCGUCUUGAAACACGG
rnacentral:rRNA from 1 species